UACAGAGGGUGCAAGCGUUGUUCGGAAUUAUUGGGCGUAAAGCGCGUGUAGGCGGCUUUGCAAGUCGGGUGUGAAAGCCCUCAGCUCAACUGAGGAAGUGCGCCCGAAACUGCAGAGCUUGAGUGCCGGAGAGGGUGGCGGAAUUCCCCAAGUAGAGGUGAAAUUCGUAGAUAUGGGGAGGAACACCGGUGGCGAAGGCGGCCACCUGGACGGGU
rnacentral:rRNA from 1 species